GAAGAAGCACCGGCUAACUCCGUGCCAGCAGCCGCGGUAAUACGGAGGGUGCAAGCGUUAAUCGGAAUUACUGGGCGUAAAGCGCACGCAGGCGGUCUGUCAAGUCGGAUGUGAAAUCCCCGGGCUCAACCUGGGAACUGCAUUCGAAACUGGCAGGCUUGAGUCUUGUAGAGGGGGGUAGAAUUCCAGGUGUAGCGGUGAAAUGCGUAGAGAUCUGGAGGAAUACCGGUGGCGAAGGCGGCCCCCUGGACAAAGACUGACGCUCAGGUGCGAAAGCGUGGGGAGCAAACAGGAUU
rnacentral:rRNA from 7 species